AGAGUUUGAUCAUGGCUCAGGACGAACGCUGGCGGCGUGCCUAAUACAUGCAAGUCGAGCGAAUCAAUGGGAGCUUGCUCCCGAUGGUUAGCGGCGGACGGGUGAGUAACACGUGGGCAACCUGCCUGUAAGACUGGGAUAACUUCGGGAAACCGGAGCUAAUACCGGAUAAUUCUUUUCCUCUCAUGAGGAGAAGCUGA
rnacentral:rRNA from 1 species